UGGCGGUCGUGGCGAAGUGGUUAACGCAACGGACUUUGACUCCGUCAUGCAUAGGUUCAAAUCCUAUAUCCCCAGCCA
rnacentral:tRNA from 1 species